CAAAAUGUUUGAGGAAUAAUUGAUCCCAUCCCUCUUUCUUGAACUGGCAAUAAGAAUAUGCCCUGGAGAUGGUAAAAUAAACCGAAAAGGCAAAAAGAGUUUUGUUUCACGGAUCUGAAUAUAGAUAUAUACAUACAGUAGAGGGGUUCCUGGUUUAACUUCCUUGAUUGCCACUAUUCAGGUUUUGCAGUAAAAGGUUCCUAAAGGCCCUGUAGAAGACCGAAUACUAGUAAUCCAACUUGAUUACUUUCAUUAUAGAGGAAUGUAAUCUAUUAUUGGUUUCCUUUACUCUGUCAACAAAUCAGUCUUUUCUUGCUCAAAUCUCAGUUAUUGGAUCCAAUUUAUCCAUAUAAAACAAUUUUAUAU